UGCUGGAGGUAUCAGAAGUGCGAAUGCUGACAUAAGUAACGAUAAAGCGGGUGAAAAGCCCGCUCGCCGGAAGACCAAGGGUUCCUGUCCAACGUUAAUCGGGGCAGGGUGAGUCGACCCCUAAGGCGAGGCCGAAAGGCGUAGUCGAUGGGAAACAGGUUAAUAUUCCUGUACUUGGUGUUACUGCGAAGGGGGGACGGAGAAGGCUAUGUUAGCCGGGCGACGGUUGUCCCGGUUUAAGCAUGUAGGCUGAUUGUCCAGGCAAAUCCGGAUAAUCAAGGCUGAGGUGUGAUGACGAGGCACUACGGUGCUGAAGUAACAAAUGCCCUGCUUCCAGGAAAAGCCUCUAAGCAUCAGGUAACAUCAAAUCGUACCCUAAACCGACACAGGUGGUCAGGUAGAGAAUACCAAGGCGCUUGAGAGAACUCGGGUGAAGGAACUAGGCAAAAUGGUGCCGUAACUUCGGGAGAAGGCACGCUGGUGUGUAGGUGAAGCCCCUGCGGGUGGAGCUGAGACCAGUCGAAGAUACCAGCUGGCUGCAACUGUUUAUUAAAAACACAGCACUGUGCAAACACGAAAGUGGACGUAUACGGUGUGACGCCUGCCCGGUGCCGGAAGGUUAAUUGAUGGGGUUAUCCGUAAGGAGAAGCUCUUGAUCGAAGCCCCGGUAAACGGCGGCCGUAACUAUAACGGUCCUAAGGUAGCGAAAUUCCUUGUCGGGUAAGUUCCGACCUGCACGAAUGGCGUAAUGAUGGCCAGGCUGUCUCCACCCGAGACUCAGUGAAAUUGAACUCGCUGUGAAGAUGCAGUGUACCCGCGGCAAGACGGAAAGACCCCGUGAACCUUUACUAUAGCUUGACACUGAACAUUGAGCCUUGAUGUGUAGGAUAGGUGGGAGGCUUUGAAGCGUGGACGCCAGUCUGCGUGGAGCCAACCUUGAAAUACCACCCUUUAAUGUUUGAUGUUCUAACGUUGGCCCCUUACCGGGGUUGCGGACAGUGUCUGGUGGGUAGUUUGACUGGGGCGGUCUCCUCCCAAAGCGUAACGGAGGAGCACGAAGGUUAGCUAAUCCUGGUCGGACAUCAGGAGGUUAGUGCAAUGGCAUAAGCUAGCUUGACUGCGAGCGUGACGGCGCGAGCAGGUGCGAAAGCAGGUCAUAGUGAUCCGGUGGUUCUGAAUGGAAGGGCCAUCGCUCAACGGAUAAAAGGUACUCCGGGGAUAACAGGCUGAUACCGCCCAAGAGUUCAUAUCGACGGCGGUGUUUGGCACCUCGAUGUCGGCUCAUCACAUCCUGGGGCUGAAGUAGGUCCCAAGGGUAUGGCUGUUCGCCAUUUAAAGUGGUACGCGAGCUGGGUUUAGAACGUCGUGAGACAGUUCGGUCCCUAUCUGCCGUGGGCGCUGGAGAAUUGAGGGGGGCUGCUCCUAGUACGAGAGGACCGGAGUGGACGCAUCACUGGUGUUCGGGUUGUCAUGCCAAUGGCACUGCCCGGUAGCUAAAUGCGGAAGAGAUAAGUGCUGAAAGCAUCUAAGCACGAAACUUGCCCCGAGAUGAGUUCUCCCUGAGACUUUAAGUCUCCUGAAGGAACGUUGAAGACGACGACGUUGAUAGGCCGGGUGUGUAAGCGCAGCGAUGCGUUGAGCUAACCGGUACUAAUGAACCGUGAGGCUUAACCUU
rnacentral:rRNA from 1 species